UACGUAGGGGGCAAGCGUUGUCCGGAUUUAUUGGGCGUAAAGAGCGUGUAGGCGGCUUUACAGGUCCGUUGUGAAAACUCGAGGCUCAACCUCGAGACGUCGGUUGAAACCACCUGGCUAGAGUCCGGAAGAGGAGAGUGGAAUUCCUGGUGUAGCGGUGAAAUGCGCAGAUAUCAGGAAGAACACCCGUGGCGAAGGCGGCUCUCUGGGACGGUACUGACGCUGAGACGCGAAAGCGUGGGGAGCGAACAGG
rnacentral:rRNA from 1 species